CACGGAUAUUGUGAUUCAGCGCACCUACUAUUAUCUUCUUCUCAGAGGGCACCCACCUCAUCUUCCAUAUCAAACAUCAUCCAUAUCUCGUUCACUCUCUCCUCGUAUUCAAAUGGAGAAUUGUAUUGUGCAACCGUAUAUGUGGAGGUCGGGUCAUCUGGCCUGCUUUUCUCAAUGGCUGCAGACCAGAUAGAGCCUGCAAGACUGGCUUCCAGGGCCGCGGCUUCCUCUCCAACCUCGGAGUCAGACACGAAACCACUGAAUUGUCUCACUGCUGCGUAUGCAGGCCCCCAUUUUUGGACAUGGAGGCCUUUUGCCGGAGGUGGGUUUGCUUGAUUUUUCUUAGGGACGUAGAAGCUGACAACAAACGAAGAUUCACAGAAGGGUCCAUCACUUGGUGAGACUUGGGUGAUGACUGGAGCUGUCAUUUCUAUAUGUUCUUGGUACUCGUUCUUCCCUUGGAUGUAGUCAAAUAGCCUGUUAGAGUAAACAAAACAACAGUGGAAAAGGAAAUGAAUAUUGAAUAGGAAAGUUCACAUAACAUCUACAAUGAAACAGCCUCAACAUUUUUCAAAUAAUAAUAAUAAACCCUAUAUUACUCCGAUUCAGAAGAACAAGCAAACGCAUGUAGUAAUAAAGGGCCAGGAGUAAGAAGCGUAUAUCUAUCUUACUGUAAGAAGCUAUCUCUAGUGGCAUCAACAAGGGAGAUAUCUUGAAUGGGAGAGGUUGAUAUCCAGACAGUUGAAUU
rnacentral:lncRNA from 1 species